GUGCAGUCGGAGUGUUUGUGCUGCUAGCAGGGAGAUGAAACCAUGGUACCCAGAGCUGGUGUGAUCUGGCUGUGCUCACCCCUGUGACGUUUCAGAGCCUUUUGGCCUUCCCUGCCUUGGAAAGAUCCUUUUCUUCUUGGGGAAAACUUCAAAAAACCCUCCUUCCAGCUGUUUUGGAGUAACAAACGCAGCUGUUCUCGUUUUCAUAAAGACAUUGAAUGUGCUUCUACAGACAGUGUUGCAGUAAAGCAUCGAAUAUGAAAGCUUUCUUCACCACAGACCUGUGUGAAGGGUUCUCUCUGUGCUUGAUACUUGCGAUGUGGAAGAAGAACACGGUGCAUGUAAGCAUGAUCACCUGGCUGCCCCUCAGCUGCCUGACUGCAUCCUUCACCCGUGUACGAGAGGUGUUUUUACGUGUAUUUCUUUACAUGGCGUGUUUGAGGCAGAAGUAUAUCCAUGUGCCUCUGCCAGGUCAAGUGAAAGCGGCAUCGCUGAGCUUACAUCUUGGUGGAGUGCCACAGAGCGUGGAGUAUACCGCAUGGACACAGCGUGUCGUACGAAGGUGCAGGCAUGAGCACGACUGUUACGAACACAGAAGCCUCAGGAGUGCCGCUGGCGGAGCGCUGCUUCAGUCGUUGUGUCACUAAAGUGGGUGUAAUGGAUUUCUGUGGUGUGGUGAGACUUACCGAACGUCUGCACGGAGAUAAUGCAGCAUUAGUAAUAAGCCCACGUCACUUCUUGUUCUGGGAUUGUACGUUGGUCACCUACAGUGUCUACCCUCGGAAUAAAAAGUAUUUACAGCAUUGGGAGUUUCUUCUCACCUGCCCUCCCAGGAGCCCACUGCUGCUUCAUGCUGGGUUUCGCAAGACAAGUUUGUGACUACUUGGCAAAUUAGUAGUGAUGAUGCUUUUCAUGGAUUGGACACUGGAGGGUGCUAAUGCAAUGGGAGCUGAAAUUGUUCUAGCAAAUUAAAGGGUUCCCCUUUGUUACUUGUGAAAUAAUUUUAUUCUUUGUUGCAACAUUUAAAUGGAAAGACAUGAAUCACGGUCCUUACAGGCAGCUGAUCGCACUGUGCGUGUGUAGAGCUAUAACCAAGAAUAUCAAUAAAGUGUUAAGUCUGUGAGGGAUUUCUUUCCUGAACCUUUAUCAAAAAAAAAAAUCACUUCAUGUUCUACACGUUUUUAAGUGUGUCUUUCAAGAUAACGGCCUUGAGGUGAAUUUUAUUUGAAAGCAUGACUUUCUAGUGAUAAAAACACUUUGUCAGGCAGAGUUGUUGAGAAACAUCCACAGCAUCUGCUUUACUACAAGGUCACUUUGGUUCACCUAAAGCAGCGUUGUCUUGUUGCUGCCCAGGCAGAACCUGAUGGUGGCUCACAUCGGGGAGGGGAGGGACGCCUCUCACACCACUAAUCGAGUCCCUGGUGUUGGGAUCCUCUGCCUGGGGAUGCACCCAAUGGAGCUCUCUAAUAUCAAGGCUUAGGCUGGCAGGAAGACAUGGGGCUGACAUAAAUGCCCCAGUGCACACCUUGGCAAUUCCUUAUUCAGUAUUAAGGGCUGUGAAACUACUGCCUGAGCCAGUUCUCGUCCUGGCAGCAGCAGAGGUAUGAUUCUAGCUAAUUAAUGCUAAUGAGAAGCAGGGUGCAGAGCCAAGCGUAUCCAGCUAAUCACCGCUGGCACCCCAACUAGGCCGUGUAAAGCUAGCGCGGUCCUCAGAGGUCCUGC